GUGCUCGCUUCAGCAGCACAUAUACUAAAAUUGGGACAUACAGAGAAGAUUAGCAUGGCCCCUGCACAAGGAUGACAUGUAUAUUGGUGAAGCGUUCCACCUUUAA
rnacentral:snRNA from 1 species